ensembl:snRNA U6 U6 spliceosomal RNA
GUGCUCACUUCGGCAGCAUAUAUACUAAAAUUGAAACAAUAUAGAGAAGAUUAUCAUAACCUCUGGGCAAGGAUGACAUGCAAAUUCAUGAAGUGUUCCAUAUUUUU